GAAAUCUAUACAUAUAAUAAAAUCGUAGAAAAGUGCUGUCUGUACAUUGAAAAUAAAAAUAAAAAAAAUAGCAGGGGUUAUUGUUAUGUCGAUGUCGAACCCAAAAAUGUACUUAACUUUUUUUUUGUCUGUUUGUCUGUUUGUCUGUUUGUCUGUUUGUCUGUUUGUCUGUUCGUCUGUGCGCGCUAAUCUCAGAAACGGCUGAUCCGAGUUGGAUGCGGUUUUCACGAAUAUAUUGUGGGAUGCUUAAAUUUACAUUUAGUGUUUGUUUCAUGUCAAUCGGUUCAUAAAUAAAAAAGUUAUGUCAAAUUAAAGAAUCACGUCGAACAUUCUAUGCUUAUACCAUUAAUCUCCGCAACUAUUUGACGGAUUUGGCUGAAAUUUGGUACAGAUAUAGUUUAGAACCUUAGAAAGGACAUAGAUAUAUUUUUAUUUCAAAAAUCAAAAAAUAAAAAUAAGAAAUAAAUUAUUUAUAAAUAAUUCUAUGUCGAUCGUUACACGACUUCGGUUCAUGUUAUUGUUUUAAUUUAUCGAAAAAAGUAAAUAAAUAGUAAAAAGGUAUGAAAAAAAUAAUAUCAAUAUAAUAAAACAUUUAGUACAAAGAAAAUGCUCUAACGGAGUAUAGAUAAUUCUAUGUCGAUCGUUACACGACUUCGGUUCAUGUUAUUGUUUUAAUUCAUCGAAAAAAAGUAAAUAAAUAGUAAAAAGGUAUGAAAAAAAUAAUAUCAAUAUAAUAAAACAUUUAGUACAAAGAAAAUGCUCUAACGGAGUAUAGAUAAUUCUAUGUCGAUCGUUACACGACUUCGGUUCAUGUUAUUGUUUUAAUUCAUCGAAAAAAAGUAAAUAAAUAGUAAAAAGGUAUGAAAAAAAUAAUAUCAAUAUAAUUAAACUUUUAGUACAAAGAAAAUGCCCGAACGGAGUAUAAAUAAAUAAUCCAAGUUGUCUUUAUCCUCGAUAAAUGGCGUUGGGAUCGAAAUAGAUCGCGCUAUGGUUUCGUUACAUUCAUUUGGUUGGGUAUCGGCCGAGCGCUUCGGUACUAUCGUAGAAAAAGUGUAUUAUCAGUCGUAUGAUUAUUUCUCUGUAGUGGUCCUGCUGUUUCGUAUAUUCUAAAUUGGUUUCGUUGUAUUUGUCAAUUAAUAAGUUUAUUUGUUGGGUUUUCCUGGUUUUUUGGUUAAACUAUUUAACGUAGGUUUAGUUUGAUAUCGAUUAUUA